rnacentral:rRNA from 1 species
GAUGAACGCUGGCGGCGUGCUUAACACAUGCAAGUCGAACGAAGCACUUGAAUGGAAUUCUUCGGAAGGAAGCUCAAGUGACUGAGUGGCGGACGGGUGAGUAACGCGUGGGUAACCUGCCUCAUACAGGGGGAUAACAGUUAGAAAUGACUGCUAAUACCGCAUAAGCACACGUGAUCGCAUGAUCGAGUGUGAAAAACUCCGGUGGUAUGAGAUGGACCCGCGUCUGAUUAGCUGGUUGGUGGGGUAACGGCCCACCAAGGCGACGAUCAGUAGCCGACCUGAGAGGGUGACCGGCCACAUUGGGACUGAGACACGGCCCAA